GAUGAACGCUGGCGGCGUGCCUAAUACAUGCAAGUAGAACGCUGAAGGAGGAGCUUGCUCUUCUGGAUGAGUUGCGAACGGGUGAGUAACGCGUAGGUAACCUGCCUGGUAGCGGGGGAUAACUAUUGGAAACGAUAGCUAAUACCGCAUGACAUCAGUUAUUGCAUGAUAACUGUUUAAAAGGGGCAACUGCUCCACUACCAGAUGGACCUGCGUUGUAUUAGCUAGUUGGUGAGGUAACGGCUCACCAAGGCGACGAUACAUAGCCGACCUGAGAGGGUGAUCGGCCACACUGGGACUGGGACACGGCCCAGGCUUCUUCGGGAGGCAGCAGUAGGGAAACUUCGGCAAUGGACGGAAGUCUGACCGAGCAACGCCGCGGGAGGGAAGAAGGUUUUCGGAUCGUAAAGCUCUGUUGUAAGAGAAGAACGAGUGUGAGAGGGGAAAGUGCACACUGUGACGGUAUCUUACCAGAAAGGGACGGCUAACUACGUG
rnacentral:rRNA from 1 species